GGAUUGAAGGACAACCUGGCUAAGGUGUCUGCCAUCCCAUUGAAAGCUAGGGCUUAUCCAAACAAUCUGGCUAGCUAGGUGUGUAUACCCAUCCUCCCUCACUCCUCCUAUAUGCCAUUACUGAAACUAUGUGCUUGGACAGAGUAUGACAUUCCCCUACAGAGGAGGAUAUGGUCUUUAAUCAUGAGUAUACUAACAGCUGUGCUCCCCACACAAAUUCUACACACACACACACUCAUGGGGGUACAGGGAGAAAGAGAAAGACAGAGAGCCCAAAUUGAUGGUCUAUGAGACCACUACUGAGUUA
ensembl:misc_RNA Gm23718 predicted gene, 23718